rnacentral:rRNA from 1 species
AUUGAACGCUGGCGGCAGGCCUAACACAUGCAAGUCGAGCGGGGGAAGUGAUCUUGCUCCUGUAUUCAACGGCGGGCGGGUGAGUAAUGCCUAGGAAUCUGCCUGUUAGUGGGGUAUAACGUCCGGAAACGGGCGCUAAUACCGCAUACUUUCUGAGGCAGAAAGUGGGGGAUCUUCGGACCUCACGCUAUCAGAUGAGCCUAGGUCGGAUUAGCUAGUUGGUGGGGUAAAGGCCUACCAAGGCGACGAUCCGUAACUGGACUGAUAUGAUGAUCAGUCACACUGGAACUGGAACACGAUCCAGACUCCUACGGGAGGCACCAGUGGGGAAUAUUGGACGAUGGGCGAAAGCCUGAUCCAGCCAUGCCGCGUGUGUGAAGAAGGUCUUCGGAUUGUAAAGAACUUUAAGUUGGGAGGAAGGGCAGUAAGUUAAUACCUUGCUGUUUUGACGUUACCAACAGAAUAAGCACCGGCUAACUUCGUG